GUGCUGGAGCUUUCAGCAGGAGCCUACGAUCCCAGAGCUGUUCCGGGAGCUCUUCUAAUCAGCACGGUAUCUGCCUGAACACCUCUGCGGCGAUACUCGGAGGAAGCAGUAAAGAUAAAAAGGGCUUCGAGACUGUGAGGAGCAGAUGCAAUCAUGGUCACGAUAUUAAUAUUUAGCUUAGUGUUUGCACACACCAGGCUCAUCAGAAGAGACCUCGGAGACUACAAAUGCCACGUGGAAAAUGCCUCAGAAACAGCUGGCCACAUAAGAAGCCUGGACGUCUUUCUGCAAGCCCCUGGGAUAGCAGCCACCGAAGGGAAGUUAAGCAGACGCCAAAAAGUCAGCACUCUGGAAUGCUUUAGUCAUCGAAGCUCUGUGCAAGUCAAUCUGCUGCACUUGGAGAAGCUGCACAGAGAUUUGGCAGAGUGGGCUGUGGAGAAGUGCACCCUGCAGAGCAUCGAAGUCAUCACCACUGCGGUCCGAGCACCCGCUCGCAACCACAGCUGUGUUCUACUGACACCCAAGAGAAAGAAGUUUCAUAGAAAAUUUGUUCUGAGAGGAAAAGGUAAGGAGUUCAAUGUAGCAAAUAGCUCUUUAAGUAUACGAAAGCACAGCGGCCUUGUGCCUUUCUGUAAGAAAAAAAAAAAAAAAGAAAACAAAACAAAAUUAGGAGGGAGUAACAGAGUUGAAGCUAUGGAAAUGUUCAAGUUUUGGAACAAUUCCAUGCUGUUGCUUUCCCUUCUUUUGGGAGGAUCAUGAGGUUUUGGCAGUUUCCAGUAUUAGUACUGACGGAUAAUUCUGUAUGUUAGAAAAUUGCACACAAGCAGAAACAACUACCUGUCCUGGUACUGUGCUGCAAACUGCCAGUACUCCACCAUUUCUGGUCAACUGUUUCAGCGUGCAAGUUAUUCUAGAAAAUGCUUCUGGCUCUUCAAUCCAAACAGAAACAAAUAACCAGAUUUAAAACCUGUCCUUUCCAGUGUUUCUGCCAGGGGUAUCCAGCCGUGCUGUAAAAGCAAUGCUGCUCAAGCGGAAAGCUUUUUCUGAGGCUCCGACUAUGCCACCUGUGUACCACAGAAACCAGACUUUGCAGGGUAGGUUCCAGCUCUCCCUGCUGAGCCACAGGGUAGCAGAGCAGUAGAUGUAGGGAUGGGAAGGAUACCGGCUUUCACACACCUCUUGGCCCAAGUUCUCCCAGCCAGUGAUUUCUCUGAACAAUGGUGUUGGAUUUACCAAUAAAUACAUUGGCCCAGGUAGUUUGUGAACCCA
rnacentral:lncRNA from 1 species